UUAAGCCGCAUCAUUAAGUCUGUCUUGCGUUAGUGCGCCAUGUGAUUAGUAGGCACCAAUUGGCACGCCUUUAAAAGGUUGGCACAAUCUUCACUGAGGGAAGUGGCAGAUUGUUUGCGUGCCUGGGGCAGGUUUGGCCUUUGUUGGUGGUGCAGCUGGGGAGUCGGGCCCGUGUAGAGCCUCACUUCACGAGAGAUGGUCAAUUUCGGGGAGUUUGGUCUAUGACGGGGGUGCGACGUUGCUGUAAGCGCGACCACAUUUAGUUCACUUCAUAUUUGGCGUUACAGGAGCCGGUGUUGUGCGUGCUCUUCCCCUGCGACUGGAGACAGUCGGUGCUCCUCGCUGUUCUUGGUACCUGUGGAUCCACCUGUUGGCCUGUCUGCGGGCUGCUGCUUAUAUAGCCUAAGUUGCCGUUUAAGAGAAUACGUGUGUGUGUGUGUGUGUGCGUCUGCGUGCGCGAGUGUGUGACGUUUUCCCUUUACUUUGAGUUUUUGGUUUGUGUUAAUAAGGAGAAAGUGAGAGUUCUCUGUUUUUGUUAAUUUUGUAUUUUCUUUUGUUUGUUUUGGCUCACCCCACACCACUUGGGUCGCCCAACGUGCGGGUUACCCCCAGAUAGUUCUUGUUUGCCGUGCGUAAAAGUAAAACACAAGUGUGCAGUGGUAUUGGUGUGGGUUUGCCGUGCUUUGUAUUUUCAUUUUAUUAUUUAAUUUUGGUUUGCUGUGUACAACUAGUUGGGGAAAACCUUGGCCUCCUUGGCCCCUGUGGGGAGUGCGGGUGUCCAAUAGCUGUUAUUUUAAUUGUUUAUAUAUUCUUAAAAAGAAAGUGUAAGACAAUAAAAGAAACGUAAUUUGAACCCUGUCUACGUGGUCCUUAACGAACCUGUGUUGCCUUGGGUUUACCAGUUGAAGUCAAACUAUUUCUGGGGGCGAAAUUCCCCCAGUGGCGUAGUCGUGCAAGCUGUUUAAAAUUGAUAAUUAUAUUAAUUAAUGACCGUUAAUUCUCCGCCAUGCUACAAUUGGCGUAGUCGGCAGGAUAAGGACUUCACAAAAGACAGGUGUUCCGGGUUAUAUUUUAGUUGGUCUUGGAAAUUGUCUAGGUUUUUUGAUUGUUUAUUUUCUUCGCGUUUGAAUGAACUGGUGUGACUGUUGUGUGGAUGUUUGUGAGUUAAAAUUAUCCUUGACGGCAAAGCAGCAGCCCGUCGACUUCGUUGUCCCUGAGUGAGCUGUGAACAUUGUCCGACUGUGCAAUAUGACUGAAGAAGAACGCAAGGAGUUGACGGAGAUGAUCGAGAUGAUGAGACGACAACAGCGGCAGCUCGGCGAGUUGUCGGAGGGUGUCGCAAUGAUGCAGCGGUCUCCACCAGGGCCGCGUGACCGCGACUUCAUCUGUUGGCGUUGUCAGGAGCCUGGACAUUUGGCAAGAAAUUGCGAUGGUGUGCGGGUUUCAGCUCGCGUUCACCCACCUUCGUCCGCCCAACCCAGGGGCAGUGGGCCACCCUCCCCUAGCCAGCCAACUGCAAGAGGGACCCGGCGCAGUGAGGGGUUGCCAGGCUCGCAGGACCAGUCCAGCCAACCUAACCUCCGCCCGGGCGCCGUCUUUCAUUGUUUGUGUAUGUGCAUAUGUGUUUGUAUGAUGAUGCUGGUGCAU